GGGGCUGUAGCUCAGCUGGGAGAGCGAUUGACUGGCAGUCAAUAGGUCGAGGGUUCGAGUCCCUCCAGCUCCA
rnacentral:tRNA from 1 species